rnacentral:rRNA from 1 species
AUUGAACGCUGGCGGCGGGCCUAACACAUGCAAGUCGAACGAGUGGCGGACGGGUGAGUAAUGUCUGGGAAACUGCCUUAUGGAGGGGGAUAACUACUGGAAACUGUAGCUAAUACCGCAUACCAUCGGAUGUGCCCAGAUGGGAUUAGCUGGUUGGUGAGGUAACGGCUCACCAAGGCGACGAUCCCUAGCUGGUCUGAGAGGAUGACCAGCCACACUGGAACUGAGACACGGUCCAGACUCCUACGGGAGGCAGCAGUGGGGAAUAUUGCACAAUGGGCGCAAGCCUGACGCAGCCAUGCCGCGUGUAUGAAGAAGGCCUUCGGGUUGUAAAGUACUUUCAGUGGGGAGGCGUUAACCGCAGAAGAAGCACCGGCUAACUCCGUGCCAGCAGCCGCGGUAAUAC